rnacentral:rRNA from 1 species
CCUACGGGAGGCAGCAGUGGGGAAUAUUGCACAAUGGGGGAAACCCUGAUGCAGCGACGCCGCGUGAAGGAAGAAGUAUUUCGGUAUGUAAACUUCUAUCAGCAGGGAAGAAAAUGACGGUACCUGACUAAGAAGCCCCGGCUAACUACGUGCCAGCAGCCGCGGUAAUACGUAGGGGGCAAGCGUUAUCCGGAUUUACUGGGUGUAAAGGGAGCGUAGGCGGUUUAGAAAGUCAGAAGUGAAAGCCCGGGGCUCAACUCCGGGACUGCUGUUGAAACUGUUGAACUAGAGUGCAGGAGAGGUAAGUGGAAUUCCUAGUGUAGCGGUGAAAUGCGUAGAUAUUAGGAGGAACACCAGUGGCGAAGGCGGCUUACUGGACUGUAAAUGACGCUGAGGCUCGAAAGCGUGGGGAGCAAACAGGAUUAGAUACCCCGGUAGUC